rnacentral:rRNA from 1 species
CCUACGGGCGGCAGCAGUGAGGAAUAUUGGUCAAUGGCCGGAAGGCUGAACCAGCCAAGCCGCGUGAGGGAGGAAGGCGCAGAGCGUCGCAGACCUCUUUUGCCGGGGGACAAAAGGCCGGACUCGUCCGGUCCUGAGGGUACCCGGAGAAAAGGCAUCGGCUCACUCCGUGCCAGCCGCCGCGGUACUACGGGGGGUGCGAGCGUUAUCGGGAUUCAUGGGGUUUAGCGGGUGCGCGGGGGGGUCUUUAAGCCGGCGCUGAAAUCGCGGGGCUCAACCCCGCCGAGCCGUUGGAACUGGGGGCCGUGAGUGCGGCGGAGGCAGGCGGAAUGCGUGGUGUAGCGGUGAAAUGCAUAGAUAUCGGGCAGAACCCCGAUGGCGAAGGCAGCGCGCCGUGCGGCGACUGACGCUGAGGCACGAAAGCGCGGGGAUCGAACAGGAUUAGAUACCCCUGUAGUC